rnacentral:rRNA from 1 species
AUUGAACGCUGGCGGCAGGCUUAACACAUGCAAGUCGAGCGGGGUGAUGGUGCUUGCACUAUCACUUAGUGGCGGACGGGUGAGUAAUGCUUAGGAAUCUGCCUAUUAGUGGGGGACAACAUCUCGAAAGGGAUGCUAAUACCGCAUACGUCCUACGGGAGAAAGCAGGGGAUCACUUGUGUCCUUGCGCCAAUAGAUGAGCCUAAGUCGGAUUAGCAAGUUGGUGGGGUAAAGGCCUACCAAGGCGACGAUCUGUAGCGGGUCUGAGAGGAUGAUCCGCCACACUGGGACUGAGACACGGCCCAGACUCCUACGGGAGGCAGCAGUGGGGAAUAUUGGACAAUGGGGGGAACCCUGAUCCAGCCAUGCCGCGUGUGUGAAGAAGGCCUUAUGGUUGUAAAGCACUUUAAGCGAGGAGGAGGCUCUUUUGGUUAAUACCCAAGAUGAGUGGACGUUACUCGCAGAAUAAGCACCGGCUAACUCUGUGCCAGCAGCCGCAGUAA